rnacentral:rRNA from 1 species
AUUGAACGCUGGCGGCAGGCCUAACACAUGCAAGUCGAGCGGAGCGGCGGACGGGUGAGUAAUGCCUAGGAAUCUGCCUGGUAGUGGGGGAUAACGUCCGGAAACGGGCGCUAAUACCGCAUACUAUCAGAUGAGCCUAGGUCGGAUUGGCUAGUUGGUGGGGUAAAGGCCUACCAAGGCGACGAUCCGUAACUGGGCUGCGAGGAGGAGCAGUCAGACUGGAACUGAGACACGGGCCAGACUCCUACGGGAGGCAGCAGUGGGGAAGAUUGGACAAUGGGCGAAAGCCGGAUCCAGACAUGCGGCGUGUGUGAAGAAGGUCUUCGGAGUGUAAAGCACUUUAAGUGGGGAGGCGGUAGGAAAAGAAUAAGCACCGGCUAACUUCGUGCCAGCCGCCGCGGUAAUAG